GAUUCCGGCAAUUUUCAGCAGCAAAAAUGGCCAACAUACCGAACUCUUGCUCGAUGAAGAAACUCGUAUGCGUGAUCACCUGAAUAGUACUUUUGCAGGCGUAGUUGAGGUUGGGCGUACAUUGGAGUUGAGGCAUAGUCAACAACAUGGCUUCUGCAAUUUUAUUUGAUUUAGGUUUUCCUUAAUUACCCUUGGUGUUAGAAUUGCUAUGAUUACCUGAGGAAAUUAAUGUUAUUUAA
rnacentral:lncRNA from 1 species